rfam:Daphnia magna strain Xinb3 contig12850, whole genome shotgun sequence.
GUUUCAAUCCUCUACGAGGCUAACGAGGUUUGCAACC